GAAGAAUCUAGCGUAUCUGGUGGUAUGGGGUAUCCGUUAUGAAUCAUCCAUCUAACAGGAAGAUCUUUAUAGUUCAGUCCUGUGCUCGGGAGUUUAUAAAUUCCUUCUAAAAUAUCAAUGAAAUGAUCUGGAGGAUUAACGCGAUCAGGUACAGUAAUUCCAAUGCCUGCAAAGUACUCUUCAACUGUCUUUACUGGUCCAUGAUAUACGGUAAGGCCGCCCUUGGCUAGAAGUACCAAAUCGUCAAACAUUCUGAACAAAGAAUAGCUGAAAAAGGAAGUGAUUACUGAGAUAGGGUGUCAAAAUUAAAGCGAUUUGAAAGAUCAUCGUUAUGCUGGAGGAAAAACUACUUAAAGUUAUAUGAUUAUAAUUCCACAUGUUUUGUGAUUGCAAUAUGUUCAAUGAGUGCGAGGACAAACAAAAAGAUAAAGCAAUAGAUAAAAGACAACAUGAUAACCACCAAGGAAUGCAAAUGGAAGAAGAUGAAUAGAGUAAGACCAAAAAGACUUAGAGGCUAUCAUUCGCAACAUUACCUUGGCUGGUGCACCACCAUGCAUACGUUCACUCCUUCAAUAGCUUCCCGACGAGUAGCUCUGAGUAACAAUUGAGAUGAAGAGCUAUCCAAACCAGAAGUUGGUUCAUCUAAGAUUAACAAAGAAGGUUCCAUAACCAUUUCCCGCCCAACGUUGACUCUCUUCCUCUGACCCCCAGAGAUGCCUCGCUUCUCCACUGUCCCCACGAGAGAAUCUCUCACAGGUUGCAAUCCCAGGGACUCUAUCACUCUUUCAACAACUAAAACCUUUUCUGGUUUAGGCAAAUCAGAUGCCAGUCUGGAAGAGUGAUUCAACAAAGAAGAGUAGACUAGAGUCAGUCGUCAUAUGAAUAUAGUAGUAUCGAAAAAACAGCAGGCUAACAAGUGAAAGCAGUAGCAAAAAAGCAAACUAACUUCCUUUUGUAUAAUAUAAGCUGGUCAUAUCUCUGCCUAGUUUGUGUUUUGACAACAAUAGAUGGCACGGAGGUUUCAGACCCUCACAUGAAUACUUCGAAAGUUUCAUUGACAAGUGUCAGUCAGUGGUUCCUGAUAAUAAGGGUAUGCAUGUAGCAGUCCAGAGUACGAAGGAAAAAGAAAUGCAUGACCUUUCCAAAGAACAAACUACUGGAAGCUGUCACCACCAAAACGUAGACUGAUGGUUGAAGUCAUGAAACUUAUGAAGUAAAAGAAUGCCAUGCGAAAAAUGAUGUUAUAUGAAUGCAUAGAUUCGUAAUAAUAGAACUACAAUAGCAUACCUGCACCGAGCACUAAACCAAAGAUUCUCCUCCACAGUUAAAUUUUCAUGUACUAUGUCAUCUUGAGGUACAAAGCCAAUGAUUUUCUUGUAUGACUGCACUGGUUCAGGCUUCCCAUUUAUGAGAAUCACUCCGAUCACGGUACACCCAGCAGCCUUCCCAGUCAAUGCAGAAAGAAACGUUGUCUUUCCAGCACCAGAUGGACCCAUAACAGCCGAAACACGGCCAGGUGAUAAUUUCCCUGAUACACACCUCAAUAGAUGCUUGGUUUUACCCUUCAAAGUAAGUGUCAAAUCUUUGAAACACACCUCAAUAGGAGGUCUAGUUCUAAUCUCAAUAGCACUUGCCAUCGAGAUUACACCAGAAAAUGUCAAAUCCUUAUUCUGCUCCUGCAAUGCUUUUUCUUUCUCAAUUUGACCAUACGCAUAUUUAAAGAAGAAGCAAGUUAUCGGAGAAGCUUGUUGGUUAGUUGUAACUUGUUAGAGAUGAAAAUCUUAAAAAAAAGGGCAGCGUGGUGCACUAAAGCUACCGCUAUUCACGGUGUCCGGGGAAGGGCUCCACCACAAGGGUGUAUUGUACGCAGUCUUACCUUGCAUUUCUACCAAGCUGUUUCCAAGGCUUGAACCCGUGACCUCCUGGUCACAUGGCAGCAACUUUACCAGCCUUAGCUUACGAGAAGAAAAUGUAAAAUGUUAUAUCUCGUGCGAUCUGUCCUUCUUUUGGGUUCAGUUAUGUUGUUUAUGCAGCCGUUACUCUACUAUUAUUUGAAAAAGAUAAGUAGAAAUUAUGUCCAGACUAAUCCCUCCCAUUUCCUCCUCCUUCUGUAAGGAAACAGCGGACAUUAGCUAAAGACAAAUCUGUUCUUUCUGUCAUGCAUUUCUCACUUUACUUCUCCCGCGUCAAGCCUAAAAAGUUUAAGACAUGCACGACCAUACUAGCUAACAAUCCAGGAACAUUAUGACAUUAUCUCAAAAGUAAAACCUUAUAUAGAUAAUCAAUAUUUGCACAGCCUAGGAGUGAGGAGAUGACUUACAAAAAACAUAAUACCAUAAGCUGUGAUAUUUUGAUUACUUGACUUUGAUUCACAAAUAGCUAACUUAUAGCAGCCUGCAUGUCCAUAAUAAUAGAUAAAUUCUUGAUCACGAUGAUGAUGAUGAUGGCAAUGUUAGAGCAUAAAAUAUUUCCAAAAAUAGAAAAGAACAUGUAGUGAGUUGUUACUUGAUACUAUAACUUUUCAUCUUGACGUAUUAUCUUCAAGUUACAAAUAACACAUAUUCAGUAACAUGACAACUAUAAGAUGUACCAUCUUUCUCAUAGUAGAGAAGAACGCGAGGCACAUCCCACUACCAAAAUAGUAAUCUUGUUAACGUGGAUGUCCAACAUGCUCUUAUCUUGAUACGUCUUGCUCAUUUCUAGUAAGAAUUAUUGGAUAUGCAUCUAGCAUAUUUUAACAGUACUAGAAACCUAGGCAAAGAAGACAAUUGGAUAUAGUUUUCCUUUUUGUAUUUCACUUGGAACCUGACAAGCUGCUACGUCACGCCAAGGAGAUUUCUUUUUUCCAGUGUGUGUGUGUGUUCUUUUUCCUUUCGUAUUUUGCUUUAGAAAUAUGGUAAAAGUGAGACAACACAACCAAACAGGCAUUUUUACUAGUACGAUAUAUCUAAAAGGAUCAAAUAAGUCAUUAUUACGUGUUUAUUCAAAGUCAAAGAUAAGAAAUGAAGCAACAAAGAACCUAAUACAGAGACAAAACAGACUGUCACAUGAGAUGAAGACUUACUUGUUUGAGACGUAGAACCAGUUCUACAGUAAUGCCUGGAAAAAAAGCAAAAACAAACAGUAUGAUAAGCGAAUGGAUUAGCAUGAGCUUCUAAUAUGAGCAAAAGGAUGAACAAGUUAAACAGAAAUAGCAUUUUGCGGGGAAAGAGAAAGCACGGUGAGAUACAUAUUCUCCGGUUUUGGGAUAAAUAUAAUUACCCUUUAUUGCAAGGUAAUUUCAGGGCAGUAGUUGGACAGUAAUAUCCUGAUGGACAAAAGAUUUCAGUAGUACUCCGAACAUCAGCCCAAACUUCUGCUCCACUGCAACUAUGAUUUAUCUGCCCUGGAGGAGGUUGAUAAUGGUACCUGCAUAUUUUGAGACAGGAAAUAUGAGUUGAAGGAUGCAAAAAGAAUACGGUCAAGUAAGAAUAAGAACUACAUAAGAUGUACGAAACUUAUGGGUCACACACACCAGUCUCGCUAUUGAGUGUUGAAAGAGGGCAAAACGCGCCUAGUGGACAAGCUUCAACCAGAAAAUAGGAAAAUAAACAAACAUAAAACUGAUACGAACGAGAGAAUCAACUUAUAGAAUUAUGCCAAAGGUGCAACUUGUGAUUUUGCCAAAGCAAAUUGUUUGAGCACAUCUACUUCAGAUAGUGGCCAUGAUUUCAAUGACUAUAAGAUAAUAUUCUUGUAGAUACUUACGUAUCAUGCAGGUGAGACCACGAGGACAGAAGAAACCUUCACAACAAGGUUCACACUCAAGAAUUCUAAGUGGCAUUUUGUUUAAAUCAAGGUCAACCGGAUUGUCUCCAAUGCUACAAGCCCAUCCUGGCUCACAUCCAUUAACCCAUGAUGAUAGAUUACAAUUUGUGUAGGUUUCAGGUUACCUCUUCCACCGCCUUUCAUUAAAAGUUGAGAAUAGAACUUUAACUCCGGUGCUGUAUACAAGCGCCUUAGUAUAUCACCUAUUCAACAACCGAAGACGUUGUGAAUACGAAAAUAAAGACAGUAGAACCCUGGAUUAUCAUGAUGUACAACGUAUACAACAUUAUGAACUAGAAUAGCAGACCUCGAACUAGAAAAAAUACAACCUCAGAGAAUCUUAACCAGAAAAUUAGUACCUUGUGUUUUUUUAAUGCAAUCUGUUAAAAAAUCUGUGUUCUCGCUGAAAUUAAAAGCUUUAUUCCAUUCAGCAUCCCUACAACACGAUCAGAAUUCAUCAACUGAAAAUUAGCUUUCUCUUUAGACGAAUUGUCAAAGACAACACUAUCAAAGAUGAAUUGUCAAAGACAACGCUAUCACAACUAAAGUGAAACAAGAUUUUGGAAAAGCUUUUGCCGGUUGGCUUAAUGACAUAGGAAUUGAAGAAUAUAACCUUUCCUAAAGCAACAUAAGAGACCGUUUUCGAGACAAUUUUUCAAUUAUGAGACAAUUGUUACUGCUUAUGUUUCCCUAAAUGCUGUGAUUAUGCUUUCCUUGAGCUAAGGGUCUAUUGGAGACAACCUCACCUGCACCCAAAGUCGGGUAAGGUCGUGUACACUCUACAGUCUCCAUAACGCCACUUGUGGGAUUAUACUGGGUUGGGUAUCGCUAUUGUUGUUGUCGUUCUAAAUUUCAGCAAGUAUUUGUUAGCAAGGUUAAUCCUAAUGCAAGAAGAAUUUAGACAGAAUGGAGAAGGAUUCACCAGACCUUCUAGCAUUUGCAAUUAUAAAUACUUCCAAGGCCCACUUUGAAUAGAUAUAAUCUCCAACUAUCGCAGUGAACUUACUGUCCUUGCUUGGUACAAGGGUCAAGACAACUGGAAGCAACACCGACCACUGAAAGACACAUCAGUUUGUUAGUAGAGAAUUGCGGCAAUAGAGGAUAACGGUUGGAGUUGAUACGUAUAGUAAGAUCAAAGUACUGAGUACACACCAGUUGAGCUUGACCAGGUUCAAAGUAGAUGGCAAGUGCAUAAGCUAUCCCAGUAACACAAACACAAAGCAAGACGAGAUAGUUAUCCAAAAUUGAAGAUCUUGGAUUGUUGAAGAAGUAGAACAUUGAUAGAUAAACUGCAGGCUUUACAAUAGUAUUGAUAUGUUCAACGGUAUCCUUAGCCAUAAAGUAUGCCAAACUGCUCAUGCCAGAUGCACUCUCUCUCCAGUAGUGUAAUUUAUCUAGAGAAAAUGACCUCAAAGACGCAAUCUUGAUGAGAAGAGCUGCAAAACAUUUUGGAAGAUUAGAACUUAGGUAAAGUGAAAAAUGGUAAUGAAGAUUUAUGAAACUAACAGUACCAAUCUUUCAUAUAAGUUUGUAAAACCAUAAAAAGAUACAAUACCAAAAUAAGGACUAUGCGCAGGGUCUAGGGAAGGGCCCGACCACAAGGAUCUAGUGUACGCAGCCUCACUUACAUUUCUGUCAGAGGCUGUUUCUAAGGCUUGAACCCGUGAUCUCCUGGUCACAUGGAAGCAACUUUACCAGUUACUCCAAGGCUCCCCUUCAACUCAUUAUUGGUACCAACAUUUACAAAUUGUCAGCAUUAACAAAGAAGCGGAAUUACAAGUGAUAACAUAGAGAUGAAGUGCAUGAUUUUAAAAUCGGGAACUUUUUCUCCUAAAUUUGCAACCAUAGCUAAUCAACUGUCUUUAAGUCAUCAGUCCUCUUAAAGAUAAAAAGCCUGAAGUAUGUACACUGUUCAGAGGUUUUGAACUUACGAACUGCAAUGACGGUGUAAAGGUACCCCAUAAAUCCAAAUGUUUCAUCACUCACGUCAGCAAGUGUUCCCAAACAGAUUCCAGCAAGUAAUAGAAUAAGACAAUCAACUGCUUGUAGCCUGGCUUCUCGCAAUCGCUGCUUCCCGACUCUGACAAUGUGAAGUAUAUCAUACAUGUCAACCAUCAAAAUGAAUGCAAACUCAAAAACAUUUGUAAAUCAACUAAAACUUUCACAUGAAUACUCCCCCCUAAGUGUCCAUAGAAGCUUCUCAGUUGGUCAUGCUACUUAGAAGCUCCAGCUGUGCGCGGGGUUUGGGGAAGGGCCGGACCAUAAGGGUCUGUUUUAAGUAGCCUCACGUUACAUUUCUGCAAGGGACUGUUUCUACGGCUUGAACCCGUGACCUACUGGUCACAUCGCAGCAACUUUACCGGUUACUCCAAGGCUCCCCUAACAUAUAAAAGAAAGAAGUACAGCAGAGAAAUCCCAAACAUUGGCAUAUAGGAUUGCAAGCACAAAAUAAACACAUAGACAUAGACAUCUUGAAAAAUAAUUAGAAGGUAUACAACUGAAAAGGAGAGAAACUUAUAUAUACCUAUAUACACAUGCAUCUUGAACAUUAAUUAGAAGGCAUACAAGUGAAAAGGAGAGAAACUUGUUAUUACCUUACAAGGAAAUACUUAUAUUGAAGCAAUACACCAGGGGUUUUCCGAUGGGACAAGUCCGACCAUGCCAAAAAGUUGAAUCUCAUGCGGUCCUUCUUCUGUGCAACAUUGGAUUUGAUAUAUGACCACAGAUCUCUAGAUUGAUCGGAGGUAGCAGCUGCAGGACUUGCUCCAUCAGCUGAAUUUUCUCCAACCGAAGAUGCUUGUGAUCCAGAAGAAUCUAGCAUAUCUGGUGGUAUGGGGUAUCCGUUAUGAAUCAUCCAUCUAACAGGAAGAUCUUUAUAGUUCAGUCCUGUGCUCGGGAGUUUAUAAAUUCCUUCUAAAAUAUCAAUGAAACGAUCAGGAGGAUUAAUGCGAUCAGGUACAGUUAUUCCAAUGCCUGCAAAGUAAGCUUCAACUGUCUUUACUGGUCCAUGAUAUACUGUAAGGCCACCCUUGGCUAGAAGUACCAAAUCAUCAAACAUUCUGAACAAAGAAUA
rnacentral:lncRNA from 1 species